UACAGACGUCUCAAGCGUUGUUCGGAUUCAUUGGGCGUAAAGGGUGCGUAGGCGGCGCGGUAAGUCGGGUGUGAAAUCUCGGAGCUUAACUCCGAAACUGCAUUCGAUACUGCCGUGCUUGAGGACUGGAGAGGAGACUGGAAUUCAUGGUGUAGCAGUGAAAUGCGUAGAGAUCAUGAGGAAGACCAGUGGCGAAGGCGGGUCUCUGGACAGUUCCUGACGCUGAGGCACGAAGGCCAGGGGAGCAAACGGG
rnacentral:rRNA from 1 species